UCUUUUCUCUCGAUCUCUUUCUCACGCAUACACAUUCUCGCCAUCCCCAUCUUUCCAAGUCUUUUGUUAUUCCUAUACUACCCCUGGAUACCAUAAAAUAUUUCUUAUUCCCGAUGAAGAAUUUUUGUGGAUUAAAAUAGUCCAUUCUUCAGGGGCACCAACUCCCGAAAAGUGAUCCCUGCUCAUUGAAUCAUAAUGUUACCUCUGAUUCACGAUUCGGAAAGUGAUCUGCUGGCAAUGCAAAUUAUUGAAAGCAUCAAGUUGGACUUAUGAUUUUAAAGUCUCAAGAUAAACUAUUAAGUUUCAAUUGCAAAUUCGUUUCAACUUAUGCUUAUAGAUACCAUAGUUGAAAAGGCUGCAUAAGCUGUUGGAUGUUACUGCCCAUUACUUGGAGAACUUGGUGUUUUCCAAACUGACCAACUAACAAAUGUUCAUUGAAAGCCAAAUGUCCCUUAUGCGAUAUUGGGGAGUUCAAGUCAUAUUAAUAGCUUAUUCACCACGCUUGCAAAUACCGAGUAUACUGCUGAUUUUAUUAUUCAAGUUUGUCAACGGAUGUUUUUCAUCAAGUAUAACUCUGCAAGGCUACCAAGUAUACCAUUAAUGUUGUAUUUGGGCCAUGAUAUUGAAUUUUUUUCAUAUGGUUUAUUUGCAUAUUAUACUCCAAUUAGAUCAAAUAUUUGGAAA